CCUUCCCAGACCUCAUUUAGGGAUUGGCAGUAGAAGUGAGGUGUUAUUAUCUGGGGAUCCCUGCCUCCUUUGAUGACCUUAUAGCCCUUCUGAAGCAUCCUGGGAAGCAGCUACUCUCUAAGGUUGCUCUGAUUUAUACUGGGAGCAAGGUAGAUCCUGGCAGCACUUUGAAUCUGGGAGGCCUAUGAUAGCAGGAGAACAGCAAUAUAAAUAACAGGGCAUCAGUCAAUGCAUGUCUGCCAAAACCUCACUCUUCUCAUCUGUGCUUUGUGAUGCCCAUGUCUUCUGCUGCCUUUUCUCUCUUUACUGUCACCAAACAGCUUUGGUGUAUCUGGGAAUAGAAAGGAGUGCCACAUCUGGAAUUUUCAGCUCUCAGCCUGACCAGUUUACAGAGAGCAUGCUCCUGCUCCUCCUGAAGGCAGUAGAACUGCCCCUUCCAGCAGGAGCAAAACCAGAUUAGUUGCCAAGGGAAAGCUGCCGCAAAGCUGCCACUGGGAGGGGGAGAGAAAAACAAGAAAUAUUAAAUAUAAGUGCAGAUGUUUUCCUUGAGAGCCUUGUUUUCUGACACAAAAUAUGAAGCUUUUAUUUAAGAACAUAUGUGUGGAUAAUGUUCCUCAAAGCAUUGGAUUUUGACAGUUGUGUGCUUGGUUUGUAUAUUUUGACAUGUAACAAUCAAAGCAAAGGAUGGGAACAUGUGGGUUUUGAGUUUCAUGUCGAUGUUGUUUGGUGUUGGUUUUCUUGCUUGUUUGUUGGGGUUUUUUUUCCCCAUUGCUUUUGUUUUUGGGUGCUCUUUUUUUUUUUU